CCCACCCCGGGCGCCUCUCCCCACCCCGGGCGCCUCUCCUCAGGCCUCCUCUCUCCCGGCCCGCCUAUCCCCCUCUCUCUCCCCACUCUCUCUCUCUCCCCACUCUCUACUCUCCCCCUAUCUAUAUAUAUAUAUAUAAUUGCUCUUAAAAAAGUUUGACAAAAAAAAAAAAAAUUUGGUAAAAGCUUGAUAGAGUUCCUAUGCGGCAAAUGAAGAAGAUGGGCUGAGAACGAUCGUCGGACUUCUUGUUGUCUCUGGCAGCAAGCUCUCUAACACCUGAAUCACCACAGAUAUUAGAAAUCAGACAAUGAUUUUGGCUAAACAAAAAAAUCAGAUCUGAAUGGAAAUACUUACUUCAGCAGCGAGGUACUCGAGGAGGACGACGGCGCCAUGUAAACCGGGAGCUCCACCACUGAGUCUUUGAGCCUUUCUUCAGGAAACGAGUGGCUUUGAUCGAUUUCGAGACCGGUUUGGUCUUUGGGCCACCGAAACGCCUUGUUCCCUUUUUCCGGUGGUUUCUCCAUUGCACAGAAACGGGUUUACAAGAUUAGUAGAGAGAGAGAGAUUUAGUGGAAGGAGAUUGGAGGUUUUGUAUUUUUUUUUAGCGGUCUUCUUCGGACAACGAUAUCAUUGGAGAAGAAAGAAGGAGAAACAAUGGUUUGGUUGUCUGUCUGGUUAUAAUGUUUACGAGUUUGGUUUGUUGUCUG
rnacentral:lncRNA from 1 species